rnacentral:lncRNA from 1 species
AUACUACAAUUGUCAUCCAUAGGGUUUAAUUUGUGUGUCAAGUUAAUUUUCACAUCAGUUGUCCUAGAAGUAUAUUGUGGACCUCUGGAAUUAUGGAUUUGAAAUCCGAGUUGCAGAUCUUCCGGAUCGAACUACCUAGUGACUUGUUUUAUAUAAGUUAUAUAUUCUAUCAAUAUGAAUUCUGAGGUUGGAUUUGAUUAUUGUUCUAGGCGCCGAUCGUCAUGACACCUUGAUGUGUGGUGCUAGGGAGUUGUUGGGCGAACUCCAGGUGAGUGGGCAGUUUUGUUUUCAGUAUAUACCUAUAUACUAUUAAUUUUCCCAGAAAUUGAAUUUAUAUGAAAGUAUGUU